CGGCAGUCGCCGAACUUCACUGUCAACUGACGUCUGCUGGGCUUGACUAGGGAAAAAGCUCCCUCUGGGCUGCCAGAGUGCCCGAAUUGGGUGCUGCAAAGUGCCCCAGCGCCUGCCGUUUCACUUGUGCUGCCCAGGCUGGAGUGCAGUGGCACUAUCUUGGCACACUGUGGCUUAUGUCACGGGUUCAAGCGAUUCUGCUGUCUCAGCCUCCCAAGUAUGGAUUACAGGACAAAUGGAAGGAAAGAUUUUUGGAAGCAGCUUCUUGUGUCCGACCCGCUGUGAUCAGCUGCUACUCCCAGGUCUG
rnacentral:lncRNA from 1 species